rnacentral:ncRNA from 1 species
UCGCGGGGACGACCUCGCGACGCUGUCGAGGCGCACAAUCCGGGGACGACCCCG